rnacentral:lncRNA from 1 species
AUUUUUGGGGGCGAAAAAUUUCACGAUUUCAUUGAAUAACUCAAUAUUGAAGGUAUACGAAAUAAUUUGGCGGUUAAUAUUUUGAUGUUUAUUAUUUUGGCGGAUUCAAAACUUUUAUCAAUACCUUUGCAUGUGCAUUUUAAAUUGGCGGAAUUUAUUUUUGUUCUUUCCGCAAAAAUAAGCGAAAAUUUACACCCCUUGAAAAUAAC